AGUGAACGCUGGCGGUAGGCCUAACACAUGCAAGUCGAACGGCAGCACAGUAAGAGCUUGCUCUUACGGGUGGCGAGUGGCGGACGGGUGAGGAAUACAUCGGAAUCUACUUUUUCGUGGGGGAUAACGUAGGGAAACUUACGCUAAUACCGCAUACGACCUACGGGUGAAAGCAGGGGAUCUUCGGACCUUGCGCGAUUGAAUGAGCCGAUGUCGGAUUAGCUAGUUGGCGGGGUAAAGGCCCGCCAAGGCGACGAUCCGUAGCUGGUCUGAGAGGAUGAUCAGCCACACUGGAACUGAGACACGGUCCAGACUCCUACGGGAGGCAGCAGUGGGGAAUAUUGGACAAUGGGCGCAAGCCUGAUCCAGCCAUACCGCGUGGGUGAAGAAGGCCUUCGGGUUGUAAAGCCCUUUUGUUGGGAAAGAAAAGCAGCAGGUUAAUACCCCGCUGUUCUGACGGUACCCAAAGAAUAAGCACCGGCUAACCUCGUG
rnacentral:rRNA from 1 species